GCGCCCGUAGCUCAGCUGGAUAGAGCGUGAGCCUCCGGAGCUCAAGGUCACAGGUUCGAAUCCUGUCGGGCGCACCA
rnacentral:tRNA from 2 species